GGCCCGCCAAAGACGGUAACAGCCCGGUAGUUGAAAUAGCUUUCCCUCCAGAGUGGAUCCUGAGUACGGCGGAACACGUGAAAUUCCGUCGGAAUCCGGGAGGACCAUCUCCCAAGGCUAAAUACUCCCUAGUGACCGAUAGUGAACCAGUACCGUGAGGGAAAGGUGAAAAGCACCCCGGAAGGGGAGUGAAACAGUUCCUGAAACCGUGUGCCUACAAGUAGUUAGAGCCCGUUAAUGGGUGAUAGCGUGCCUUUUGUAGAAUGAACCGGCGAGUUACGAUUUGUUGCAAGGUUAAGCGGAAAAAGCGGAGCCGUAGCGAAAGCGAGUCUGAAUAGGGCGCAUAAGUAACAGGUCGUAGACCCGAAACCAGGUGAUCUACCCAUGUCCAGGAUGAAGGUAAGGUAAUACUUACUGGAGGUCCGAACCCACGCACGUUGAAAAGUGCGGGGAUGAGGUGUGGGUAGCGGAGAAAUUCCAAUCGAACUUGGAGAUAGCUGGUUCUCUCCGAAAUAGCUUUAGGGCUAGCCUCGAGGUAAAGAGUCAUGGAGGUAGAGCACUGUUUGGACUAGGGGCCCUUCUCGGG
rnacentral:rRNA from 1 species